GCCCGAGUGGCGAAAUUGGUAGACGCAAGGGACUUAAAAUCCCUCGUCCGUAAGGAUGUGCCGGUUCGAGUCCGGCCUCGGGCACCA
rnacentral:tRNA from 1 species